UUCCGGUUGAUCCUGCCGGACCUGACUGCUAUCGGAUUGAUACUAAGCCAUGCGAGUCUUUGCAGUAAUGCAAGGCAUACGGCUCAGUAACACGUAGUCAACUUACCCUAUGGACGAGGAUAAUCUCGGGAAACUGAGCAUAAUACUCGAUAGAUCAUAAUGCCUGGAAUGGUUUAUGGUUAAAAUGAUUCGUCGCCAUAGGAUGGGACUGCGGCCUAUCAGCUUGUUGGUGAGGUAAUGGCCCACCAAGGCGAUUACAGGUACGGGCUCUGAGAGGAGAAGCCCGGAGAUGGGUACUGAGACAAGGACCCAGGCCCUAUGGGGCGCAGCAGGCGAGAAAACUUUGCAAUGUGCGAAAGCACGACAAGGUUAAUCCGAGUGAUUUCUGCUAAAGAAAUCUUUUGCAAGUCAUAAAACCACUAGUGAAUAAGGGGUGGGCAAGUUCUGGUGUCAGCCGCCGCGGUAAAACCAGCACCUCAAGUGGUCAGGAGGAUUAUUGGGCCUAAAGCAUCCGUAGCCUGCUCUGUAAGUUUUCGGUUAAAUCCAUGUGCUCAACACAUGGGCUGCCGAAAAUACUGCAUAGCUAGGGAGUGGGAGAGGUAGACGGUACUCAGUAGGAAGGGGUAAAAUCCUUUGAUCUAUUGAUGACCACCUGUGGCGAAGGCGGUCUACCAGAACACGUUCGACGGUGAGGGAUGAAAGCUGGGGGAGCAAACCGGAUUAGAUACCCGGGUAGUCCCAGCUGUAAACGAUGCAGACUCGAUGAUGCAUUGGCAUAUAGCCAGUGCAGUGUCGCAGGGAAGCCGUUAAGUCUGCCGCCUGGGAAGUACGUACGCAAGUAUGAAACUUAAAGGAAUUGGCGGGGGAGCACCACAAGGGGUGAAGCCUGCGGUUCAAUUGGAUUCAACGCCGGG
rnacentral:rRNA from 1 species